rnacentral:lncRNA from 1 species
CUCCCUAUCCGACUCAGCUCCCGCUACCGCCGGCUCGUCCGAUGGUGCCACUUGAGGCCUCUUGGGAGGCCGUGAUGGUUCGGCUCCACGCGCCGGCCUCUUCCGAGCCGCGUGUCGGCGAACGUCGGCUUCAGUCAACCUCACCCUCGGUGGCAUGUCUGCAAUAUCAACAGCGAAUCAGCAUCAAAAAAUAGAAAAGGAAAAAGAAGAAGAGAGAAGG